rnacentral:rRNA from 1 species
AGGGCACCACCAGGAGUGGAGCCUGCGGCUUAAUUUGACUCAACACGGGGAAACUCACCCGGCCCGGACACUGGAAGGAUUGACAGAUUGAGAGCUCUUUCUUGAUUCAGUGGGUGGUGGUGCAUGGCCGUUCUUAGUUGGUGGAGUGAUUUGUCUGGUUAAUUCCGAUAACGAACGAGACUCUAGCCUACUAAAUAGAUCGUCGGCUUACAAACGCCGACGAGACUUCUUAGAGGGACAGGCGGCGAUUCAGCCGCACGAAACAGAGCAAUAACAGGUCUGUGAUGCCCUUAGAUGUCCGGGGCCGCACGCGCGCUACACUGAAGUGAUCAGCGUGCUUUUUCAACCUACUCUGUCAAGAGUGGGGAACCCAAUGAACCUUCUUCGUGAUUGGGAUAGGGGAUUGUAAUUAUUCCCCUUGAACGAGGAAUUCCCAGUAAGCGCGAGUCAUAAGCUCGCGUUGAUUACGUCCCUGCCCUUUGUACACACCGCCCGUCGCUACUACCGAUUGAAUGUUUU